rnacentral:rRNA from 1 species
AUGGUUGUCGCGGCGGCCGAGGGCCCGAUCCGCGCCGACGCCGUGCCGGAGAGGGCCGAUGCGGCGGCGGCGGCCAGGGAGGACGAGGUCGUCAGGGAGUACAAGAGCGACGUGAGGAAGCUCGAGGAGCUGUUCAAGAAGCUGAACCCCUCCGCGGAGGAGUUCGUGCCGCUCUCCCGCCGCCAGCAGGGGGGCGGCGCCCGCCGCCUGUCGGCCGACGCGCCCGUCUUCGUCUCGCCCGCGAUCGACUACUACGCGCCCCACCACCCGUUCGAGCAUCAGCAGAUGCACGUGCUGCAGGUGGUCGGUGGCGCGGGCAGAGACUCCAGCAGCGACGGAUCCGCCAGCGGCCAGCCCAAUCGACGGGUGGUAGAUUGCCGUAUCUGUGGUGAUCCAAACUCAGUGAUGCGUUUUGCUUUUAUCGAGUUCGCCGAUGAUGCCGGUGCAAGAGCAGCUCUAACGCUUGGUGGAACCAUUCUUGGUUUUUAUCCUGUCAGAGUUCUGCCAUCUAAGACUGCAAUUUUGCCUGUGAACCCCAAAUUUCUUCCUCGAACGGAGGAUGAGAAAGAAAUGGUAUCCAGGACUGUGUACUGUACUAACAUUGACAAAAAUGUUCCAGAGGAUGUUGUGAAGAAUUUCUUUGAGGGAAUUUGUGGGGAGGUUGCUCGACUGAGGCUGCUUGGUGAUUACGUGCAUGCCACGUGCAUUGCCUUUGUUGAGUUUGUUCAGGCAGAAGGAGCAAUUUUGGCCCUGAACUGUAGUGGCAUGCUUCUUGGCUCGCUUCCUGUCAGGGUGAGCCCAUCCAAGACCCCAGUCCGCCCCCGUUCGCCUUGUGCGAUGUCGCACUGA